GGGGCAUUCAAGUAGGAGCCUGGCAGCCGUGAGGCCAGAGAUGACCUGAGAGGGAUCCCAACCCUGAGUGAAGCCUGCUCUGCCCUCCUGGAGAGUCCUGCACAGUCAGGCCCCUGGAAAGCCCCUUCCUAGCCCUGUUGUGUCCCCCAACAAGGCUCCUGGGUGCCCUAAGCUUGGCCUCCCUGCUCCUCUGCCACUCACACCCUCUCUGGGACUCUCCAGUUGUUCAAGAAACCCAUGGAGACACCCCUUUGGUGCCAUCAUGCACUGGGCUCGGCUCUGAGGAGCCCCCAAGCUGAGGAAGACAAAGCUGGACAUGUACACCCCCAGCCCCCAGGUCCCCCAGGAGGAGUGGCUGCCAUUGUCCCCACAGCUCAUAUGGACAAAAAGGCUCAGAAAGGCUCAGAGGAGGUGACACAACUGGCCUGAGGUCACACAGUGAGAGGGUGGCAA